rnacentral:rRNA from 1 species
UACGGGGGGGACAAGCGUUAUUCGGAGUUACUGGGCGUAAAGAGCAUGUAGGCGGCUUCUUAAGUCAACUGUUAAAUUCCACGGCCUAACUGUGGUUCAGCGGUUGAUACUGGGAAGCUAGAACUUGGAAGAGAGAGAUGGAAUUCUCGGAGUAGCGGUAGAAUGCGUAGAUCUCGAGAGGAACACCGAUGGCGAAAGCAGUCUCUUGGUCCAUAGUUGACGCUCAAGUGCGAAAGCGUGGGGAGCAAACAGG